UCCCACCAGCCCUGAUGCGGGCCUGCAUGCACCACGCACAAACCCCCAAAUCACCCACAAUGUGUACAGGGGAGUUCCCGAGAGGGAGACACCGAGCAGCCGAAGACGCAUGCACGGGCACCGGAGCUCCUCUCAUCCGGGGAGGAGGAUACACACAAGAAGGAGAAAACACAGACAUGGGCCUGAUGUGAUGUGCAGCUGGUGACUUCUACUUAUUCCUCCUGCAAGAGGAGAGAGGAAAACAGACUUCUGUAUGAAGAUUUCGAUCGGAUGAAAUGUGGAUCAUAAAGAUUUGAUUUCUUUUCCAACCUGGGAUCCGAUUGAGGAGAGGAGCUGCAACACACCCAGGAGUUUGCCAACAAACAAACGGAUGCAAUUAAACACACUCGCCCUCAGAGCAUCAAUGAGGAGGCAAAGUGGAGACGGGCAGGAAACAGUCAAGGGCGAUUGGAAGGCGGGAGAAGACUCUGCCGCCUCAAGGUUAAAACUUACUGACUCAAGUGUGUGAGGAGCUCAUCUCCACACAAUACGGAUGCCUUUUGCCUCUUCUACACACACACACACACACACACACACAUACUGGUUUCCAUGGUUUGCGGGGCGUGCACUUUUUAUCAUAACCUGUGGGGACCACCCUUUCUAGAGGUUGUGGAACUAUGAAAAAAAUCAGGGACACUAAGAAAAAAUCAGUUAGUACAUACACACCUUAAAAUAUCUAAAUUCAUGAAGUAGUGUUUUGACUGUGCAAAAUGGGGACCUUAGAAAAAACGGGUAGGUAUGGCUGAUGGGGACCUCAUUUACAUAUCAUUUGCAUGACUCACACAACUUGUUAUAAGACUAAUGGGGACCAUGCUUCAAAAAGCAUUUUUAUAUACAUUAUUACUGAUACCGUAAGUCCUUCCAUUAUUACAUUUGUUAGAGCUGUUUGUUUAAAACUAAUAAAGUCUAGCCAAAAAGAACAAAAGUUGUUGAUAGAAAAUGUAGAGAUAUAACAUGAUACCUGUAAAUGGUGAUAGGGAUGCAAAGCAUUACUUUGUACAGAAAAUCUUGCUGUUCAUGAACUCCGCCUUACAAUGAAGCAGAAUUUGAUAGGACUAUUAGUGUAAUGUGGUUGAAGUGAAUAUAAACUUAUCAAACAGUGACGGGCUAUCUAUAUCCCUACAAAGAAUAAUUCUUAUUCAGGCAAAUUUGUAAGAUAUUUUUAAUUUCAGACAACCACAUAGCAACCGCUUACUGGUGGUAAUCUUCCCAUUAUUUACUUAAUUUCCUCUUGUUGGCUGUAAUGCGGUUAUAUAUGUAGAAUUUCACAUUCUGCCAGCUCCGGUCCUUAAGAGCUUCUGGAUCAGCCCUUAAACACUUCUCACAGUCAAACUUUGCUGGAGCAAUACAAGAUGUGAUGAAUCGAUUCAUGUGCCUUUCCACUGCCUUCACGUCUGUCUCCUUCCAGGGUGUUUUCUCCUUUGCGGCAGUUGUACCUUUAAGUGGUCGGAAAAACACAUUUGUAAAUACAAGGACUCAAAAGUGUGUAAGAGUUAUAAUCCAAAGUUACAAGUUCUAUAAAGUAUAAACUAACUUCUAAAGUAUAAGAAAACUAAAAUAUACAAUUACUCUGCCAAGAAAACACUGAUAUGUGCAUUCUGACUGAAAUUGUCAGUGGGAAAGAGGAUUUUGAUGCCAUUUUCUUAUAAGCUGAACAUGCUGUGUUAUAUUAACAAAUAAACUGUUCAUUCUGAUCAAUGA